rnacentral:rRNA from 1 species
AACGAACGCUGGCGGCAUGCCUAACACAUGCAAGUCGAACGAGACCUUCGGGUCUAGUUGCGCACGGGUGCGUAACGCGUGGGAACCUGCCCUUAGGGUCGGAAUAACUCCCCGAAAGGGGUGCUAAUACCGGAUAAUGGCUUCGGACCAAAGAUUUAUCGCCUUUGGAUGGGCCCGCGUUGGAUUAGCUAGUUGGUAGGGUAAAAGCCUACCAAGGCGACGAUCCAUAGCUGGUCUGAGAGGAUGAUCAGCCACACUGGGACUGAGACACGGCCCAGACUCCUACGGGAGGAAGCAGUGGGGAAUAUUGGACAAUGGGCGAAAGCCUGAUCCAGCAAUGCCGCGUGAGUGAUGAAGGCCUUAGGGUUGUAAAGCUCUUUUACCCGGGAUGAUAAUGACAGUACCGGGAGAAUAAGCUCCGGCUAACUCCGUG